UCCCUGGUGGUUGAGUGGUUAGAACUCGGCACUCUCGCUGCUGGGGCCCAGGUUGGAUACCUGGUCAGGGAA